ensembl:snRNA U6 U6 spliceosomal RNA
UGUGCACACUUUGGCAACAAAUACACAAAAUGGCAAUGAGACAGAGAAUAUUAGCAUGGCUCACAUGCAAAGAUGGCAUGGAAAUUCAUAGUGUUAUAUUUUUUUUUU